rnacentral:lncRNA from 1 species
GAAUCUCAUAUCAAAUGUUUGGGAAUUCUGAAAUUUUUUUGUAAUAAAGUUUAAAAAAUAGUGAAUUAUUUACCGUCUUUUUUGAGAAAGAAAGUAAUAAACAAUUUAUAGUUUCUUUCUAUUUUCUAUACGAAAUUCUAACAAGUAUAUAAAAAUUUUAGUAAAUUACAUAUAAUUUUAACAAAUUAAAAAAUUCUAACAAACUAUUUAUACAAUUUUAAUAAUUAAACAAAAAUUUCAAUAAUCCACGUACAAUCCUAUUAAUUUCGUAAAAAUUCUCACAACUCAUAAAAAAGGAAAGGCUAAAUUAUAAAAAAUCUCCCUGCCAAAAUACGCCUUUUUAUUUUCCCCCCGUCAUUUAAAAACAUACACUUUGCUUCCCUAAAAAAUAAGAAAUAUUCACUUCGGACCCUGCCAUCAGUGUUCUAUUAGGGUUCCCUUUAUAUCCCAUUAUUAUAUAUAUUUUUUUUAUAUCGAAAAUAUUCUUUCUAUAAAUGAAGGAGGGUUAGAGAGGAGAGGAAGAGGAAGAGGGUAUUUUGGUCAUUUUGUCAAUAUAGUUAACAUCAUAUUCCCUGUGAAUAUUUUUUUAUUUUUUAGUGGUGCAAAGUGUAGGUUUAUAAAUGACGGAGAGACAAAGUGAAAAAUCAGAUUUUGAUAGAAGUUUUUUUGUAAUUUAGAAAAUCAAUAAAAUGAUUCACUAUUUUCUAAAAAUGGUAAAUAAUUCACUAUCUUUCUCAUUUUUGUCUAUCAUAACCCUGAGUUAGUAAGAAAUAGGUUAGUUGGCUAAAUAAAAUUCGUAAAGAUUAUUUGACAAAUUAAAAAAUUUUAAGAAUUAUUUUAAAAUAAGUCCUCACUAUAGAGAAGCAUUAAAUUUAGUCUUUUUCUGAGUUUCGAUGACUCUAGUGAAUGCACAUUAAUUUUAUAGAGGUUUCUUAUUUAGAAAGUUUCCAACAAUGACCCCCCCAACUUUCUAUAUGUUUAUAUUAGUUCUUGAGUUUUUUAGUUUUUCUUUCAUAAAAGUCUCUGGUGAGGGUCCAAACCACUGGUCCAAAUCAACGCAAUAACUUCGAUUCUUUUUUCACAAAUUUAUCAUUGUAAACAUUGGAACAAAUUAUCUUUGGGUCCAAACCAUUGGUCCAAAUCACCGCAAUAAUUUCGAUUCUUUUUUCACAAAUUUAUCUUUGUAAAUAUUAUAGCAAGCUUUAAAGUGUCGCUCUGUGCCAUACGGCAUGUGACGUCAGGUAUCGUGCUCUGGGUACGGAACAGGGGGGAUCUCAGACCCCCCGCUGUGCCUCGGCAUACACUUGCAGGUGGGUGCCACAGCACUGUACCAUGCCGGUACUUUUCUUUUUACUUUUUAUUUUUUUCUUUUUAUUUUAUUCUUUGGGGUACCCGAAACAUUCUGGAUACCACACACCCCCAAAAGAUAUUGCAAUCGAAAAUCUACAUUUUAGAUAAGUCAAAAAAAUUAUAAUUUAAUUUUUUAUUUAUCAAUAUAUGGGCAAAUUUUUAAUUUAUAUAUUUGAUCCACUACAGACAUUUAUUUUUUUCAUAAAUUAUUUUAUCAAAAUUUGUCUCACCGCGAAACUUUUAGCGAAUUAAAGGAAUAAAAUCAAACUCAAUAAAUAAAAUUUGAGACAAAUCAAACAUAAAAUUUAUUUUUGUGUUAGAAAAUUAAAAAUACUGAUAAAAUUAAAAGCUAAAUUAAAUUAUUGAUACUUAAAUUUAUUUAAUUUAUUUGUCAAAUAAUUUAUUACUUAAAUUUUUUGAUAGAUCUAAUAAUUUUUGAAAAUAUUAAUUAAUUUUUUUUCAAAUACUUCUUAAAAUAAAAUUUUUAAAUAAUUUUAAAAAUUAGUUUUUUAUUUUAUAAAAGAAAGACUGUAGUAUGGUUAAAAGAAAGAAAUAAAGAAAUAUAUCUUUACAUUUUAAAAUUCUAAUUUAUAAAAAUUUCUAUUUUGUAUGAGAUAUAGUUAUACUUUACAUACCAAAAAAAUUUAUAGGUAUGUUAAUUGAUGAGUAUAGUAAGUUAUAUAUAACAAAUAUUUAUAAUUAUUUAAUUAAAUCUUUCAAAAUAAUAUUAUAAAAAUUUAUUAGAAUAAAAAAUUAAAAUAAGUCCAUAACAAAACGUACCAGUAGGAGAUCAUACGUAUCCAUCGACAUGUAAGCGUAUCAUAUAUCAGCACGGAAGCGUGUUGGUGCCGUAUCGUGCCAAGCAAAUAGCAGCACGCCCCCGUACUACGGUACUU